rnacentral:lncRNA from 1 species
CUUGAUGGUCUAGUAGACACACCAACAGGAUACAUUGAAAGCUUGCCUAAGAAGAAGAAUAUGAGUGGAAACCAGAUAAGGAGAAUGAAGUUUCGGAGGAGAUGAAAGAAAAGGGCAAGAUUGAAGAUGAGAUGAAGGAUGAAGAAAAAGAAGACCCUAAAGGAAUUCUUGAAUUUUGGUUGACAGUUUUUAAGAAUGUUGAUUUGGUC